GUAGACAUUUGUCAUCCAUGCUGUC
rnacentral:piRNA from 1 species